GAUGGGAGUUGUAGUCCAAAAACAGCUGGCGACACAAGUGUGGGAAACUGAUCUAAAGAGUUCUGCACUCAUAGUUUAAGACAGGCAUCCCCAAACUUCGGCCCUCCAGAUGUUUUGGACUACAAUUCCCAUCUUCCCCGACCACUGGUCCUGUUAGCUAGAUAUCAUGGGAGUUGUAGGCCAAAACAUCUGGAGGGGCGCAGUUUGGGGAUACCUGGUUUAAGAAAUAAACCCAGUGAGGCAGAUUUGGGGAAGGGCAAUAACCCAGUGGUAAGCAUGUGUUUUGCAUGUAGGUCACAAGUUCAGUCUCUGGCCUUUCCAAGUGGAGCUAAGAAGGACUCCUGUUUGAAACCCUGGAAAACCACUGCCAGUCCUUGCAACUAAUACUAGCUAGAGUGGCAAUUAGGUCUCAUUCUGUCCAGUAUUUCAUUCGUUGCUUAACAAAUACCACUAGCUUGCACUUAGACCUCAUAUACGUGCUGCUUUAUUUGACGCUAAAGGAAUUGUUACCCUUAUUUUUUGAUGCACCUGCAUUCAGAAGCGUAUGCAGACCUUCAUACAAACGGGCCCACUUUAUUCCCCCAUAACUGCCAGGUACCACGUUGGAUUUCUGUUUUUAAAAUUGAACAGAAAACCAGCUGCACAAUAGCACACCUAUUGCGUAAGUCUCCGUUUGGAAACCCACUUCUUCUGAGCAAGUCGAUCCUGUUGUUCUGUUGCUUUCCGUCGGACAAGUCUGAACUGGAAGAAAGGAAAGAACAAGAAGUGCCUGUUCCACCUUUCCUAAAUGCUGCUUUGUAGCAGAACUUGUUCAGCCGCAGGAAACCUGAAAGAUUUGCACCGCAGUGUCAGUGAAUCAGACGGAGGAAUCAGAUGCUGGUAGUUCUAGCCGCAGCCAUACAGACAAUGGGCUUUGGUUUCAGAGAGGACUGUUAUUAUCAUGCUUAGCAACUGGCUGCUCCUUUCUGGCAUGCUGUGGUCAUGCCACGCUUCGCUGUAGGAAUGAUUGUGGGCAAUUCCAUUUUUGCCACAGGUGGAAACCAAGUCUUUUCUUGCUACGGUACCAGUUGUCUUUAAAAAGACACCCAAAAAACCAGCCCUGGUUAAAUUCAUUUGUGGCCCUGCAGUGAGGUCAAAGGUUGGGAGGUUUAGGAUUUCAUGGGAACAUGCCCUUGUUUGGACUUGGCCCAAGAGCUUAGUUUACCUGUUUGACAGGUAGCAAUUAGAGAGUAAUAGCUUGCCAAGCUGGAAUGUCACUGCUGAGGCCCUUUGCUGAGGAUCUGGUUUACCUGUUCAGCAGGUGUGGGCUGUAGGGCUCAGAUAAGUAUGUGCACACACAGCAUUCCAGAGAAUCAAUUUUCUCUUAAAAGACACAGCCAUGACUGCAGGGCACAAAAGGGCUGGGCUAACUCCCACUGGAAGAUGGUUGGCUAUUUGCACGGCAAAGAAGCAAAAUAAAUAGUGGCACAGAAUAUACCGUGAGGAUAAAAUGACAGAAGUUCAGAACAAGUCCAGAUGGUGGCUGGAACAUCCCAUUUUCAACUUCAAAGACUGGAGAAGCUGCACAGUCAGUGUAAGCCAAUGGUGAGAUACUACGUAAUGGCCCUUCAAAUACUGAUGGACUUCAAGGCCCAUCAGUCACAGCCAUGGUUAGAGAUGGUGAGAGUCUAACAGGUUCUGGAAAGGCCACAGGUUCCCCAUUCUUGGUGUAAACAAACUGAGCAAAUGAGGCUUUCAUUUUUUCCGUGCAGAUUCUCUGACUGGAAUCCUAAGCAGGCAUUUUUCUGGAACUGAUUGGAUUCAGUGGCAUAUAACAUGCUAGAGAAUCCACAUUCUGUUAGCAAGAUGGUUGACCCAACCAUACCGUCAGGCAAGAGAUAGUAUGUUGGGUCGGCGCAGUUCGAUGCCUGCUCCCUGUGGAAGCCGACAGUCCACCCCAGAGCCUCCAAGAGACAUUGCAGGUGUUGCAGAGUAUCAGUUUGUGUAGGGAUGCACUUGCCUUACACUGCUGCUUUCUGUACCGCAACACCCUAGCUGGAGUGAAAGAGCCAAAGUCCAUACGACCUGGGAGAUUUUGUUUCAACUGAAAUGUCACAGCGAGGUGCUGCCAGGUUGUUUUGGAGUAGAGCGGAGUUAUGAGACACCCCCACCACAUGGCUUUCCUGGUCAAAAUUGUCACCACUGCAAGCUGAUGUUUGCAAUUCGGGAGAACGUUUUGGGGCAAACGGCAGCUUGCAGUUGGGUGCAAAUUUGCCAGCGAAAUGCACAGAGGGGAAAUGUUAAAAAUCCUUCUGCACCAGCUGUUCCUCUAAAGAAAUGCAACUGCAUUUUCAAUGUGUGCAUUAAUGUCGGCAGAACUAUUAUGGAUCUGCCCUGUAAUGUGUACAGUAGUUUGAGCCACACAGUGCAGUCAUAUACGCGUUUGCUGAAAAGUAAACAUGAGUUCAAUGGGCAUUACUCCUAAUCCCAAGUAUGUAGGAGUGUAGCCUAGCUCUUAGAGCCUGGGUUGAACUAUAUAACACAGUUACACAGGGAGGGAGGGAGGGAGGAAUCCUGUUACGUUUUAUAAAUUGACAUUUUAGAAGUGAAAUGAACCACCAGUGCAUUUAAUAUUGCCUCUCCAAAGCCACUUGAGACUUGGCUUCGCCUUUUAAUUGCCUUAGAAGAAACCACAAGAGCAACUGUUUGCUUUAUUUCACUACAGCAACUGGAGAAGAGACAGUGUUCAAUUGCUAGGGUGUUUUACUUCUUCCAAAAAUGCUUUUGAAAAAGAAUGCUUUUAAGGUUUGCUUCAUACGACACUUUUUGUACUUCGUUACUUCAAAGUAGUCAAAGCUAUUGCCUGGCUCAGUUAUGAAAAGUACAUAAAUGUCUAAUUUGGAACGUAUCCCUUCCAAAAAAAAAGAGCACAAUCCUUCCCCAGCAACAAAUUACAUAAGUGUAAAAG